GAGGAUAUAGCUCAGUCGUAGAGUGUGUGCUUAGUAUAUACAAUGUCCUGGGUUCAAUCCCCAGUACCUCCU
rnacentral:tRNA from 1 species